rnacentral:rRNA from 1 species
GAUGAACGCUAGCUACAGGCUUAACACAUGCAAGUCGAGGGGAAACGGCAUCGAAAGCUUGCUUUUGAUGGGCGUCGACCGGCGCACGGGUGAGUAACGCGUAUCCAACCUGCCCAUCACUUGGGAAUAACCUUGCGAAAGUAAGACUAAUGCCCAAUGACAUCCCACGAAGGCAUCCGAAUGGGAUUAAAGAUUUAUCGGUGAUGGAUGGGGAUGCGUCUGAUUAGCUUGUUGGCGGGGUGACGGCCCACCAAGGCAACGAUCAGUAGGGGUUCUGAGAGGAAGGUCCCCAACAUUGGAACUGAGACACGGUCCAAACUCCUACGGGAGGCAGCAGUGAGGAAUAUUGGUCAAUGGGCGAGAGCCUGAACCAGCCAAGUAGCGUGCAGGAGGACGGCACUAUGGGUGGUAAACUGCUUUUAUAAGGGAAUAAAGUGGGUCACGUGUGACUUUUUGCAUGUACCUUAUGAAUAAGGACCGGCUAAUUCCGUG